rnacentral:rRNA from 1 species
UACGUAUGGUGCGAGCGUUAAUCGGAAUUACUGGGCGUAAAGCGUGCGCAGGCGGUUCGUUAAGUCAGAUGUGAAAGCCCCGGGCUCAACCUGGGAACUGCAUUUGAAACUGGCGGGCUUGAGUAUGGCAGAGGGGGGUGGAAUUCCAGGUGUAGCAGUGAAAUGCGUAGAGAUCUGGAGGAACACCGAUGGCGAAGGCAGCCCCCUGGGCUAACACUGACGCUCAUGCACGAAAGCGUGGGGAGCAAACAGG